rnacentral:rRNA from 1 species
GAUGAACGCUGGCGGCGUGCCUAAUACAUGCAAGUCGAGCGAACAGGUAAGGAGCUUGCUCCUUUGACGUUAGCGGCGGACGGGUGAGUAACACGUGGGUAACCUGCCUAUAAGCCUGGGAUAACUUCGGGAAACCGGUGCUAAUACCGGAUAAAAUUUGGAAACGCAUGGUUCUAAAUUGAAAGAUGGAUUUGCUAUCACUUAUAGAUGGACCCCGGCCGUUUUAGUUAGUUGGUAAGGUAACGGCUUACCAGGGCAACGACAAGAGGCCGACCUGAGAGGGGGACCGGCCAAAUGGGACCGGGAAACCGCUCAAGACUCCAACGGGAGGCAGCAGAAGGGAACUUUCGGCAAUGGGCGAAAGCCUACCGGAGAAACGCCGCGGGGGUGAUAAAGGGUUUGGGUUCGAAAACCUCGGUUAUUAGGGAAGAACAAGCGUGUAAGGAACUGCGCACGUAUUGACGGUACCUAAUCAGAAAGCCACGGCUAACUACGUG